GCCUCAGUUGAGAACAUGCACCUAUAGAAUGGCCCAUGGUGCUGGUGCUUUAAGAAAGCAGGCCGAGCAAACAAUGGAGAGCAAUCCAGAAAACACCCUUCUUCCACAGCCUCUGCAUCAGCUCCUGUCUUCAGGUUCCUCCUGUCUUUCCCUGACUUCCCUUCACGAUGGAUUGUAAUCUGUGAGGUCCCGCAAGCCUGGAAGGCAAGACCCUGCCCCUUACCUCGCCCUAAUUUGGAGGACAAGAGGAUGUGCGGAAGAGACUGUCCCAUCUGCCCCGGGACAGUACACAAGCAACCACAAUACAAACUAGGCCUUGCUCUUACUUGUCUUGCUCAACUCCUACCCGUUUUCCGCCCCGAGUCCCGGGUGCCAAUCAGCCCCCAGUUCGGCGCUGCGGACACUCACCACGCCA